rnacentral:rRNA from 1 species
GAUGAACGCUGGCGGCGUGCUUAACACAUGCAAGUCGAACGGAAAGGCUCCUGCUUGCCGGGGUACUCGAGUGGCGAACGGGUGAGUAACACGUGGGUGAACUGCCCUGCACUUCGGGAUAUGCCUGGGAAACUGGGUCUAAUACCGGAUAGGACCACAUUUUGGGUGGUGUGGUGGAAAGAUUGUCGGUGUGGGAUGAGCUCGUGGCCUAUCAGCUUGUUGGUGGGGUAAUGGCCUACCAAGGCGUCGACCGGUAGACGGCCUGAGAGGGUGUACGGCCACAUGGGGACUGAGAUACGCCCCAGACGCCUACGGGAGGCAGCGGUGGGGAAUAUUACACAAUGAGCGCAAGCCUGAUGCAGCGACGCUGCGUGGGGGAUGACGUCCUUCGGGUUGUAAACUCCUUUCGCUAGAGCCGAAGCGGAAGUGACGGUACCUGGAGAAGAAGCACCGGCUAACUACGUG